rnacentral:rRNA from 1 species
GACGAACGCUGGCGGCGUGCUUAACACAUGCAAGUCGAACGGAAAGGCCUCUUUCGGGGGGUACUCGAGUGGCGAACGGGUGAGUAACACGUGAGUAACCUGCCCUUGACUUUGGGAUAACUUCAGGAAACUGGGGCUAAUACCGGAUAGGAGCUCCAGCUGCAUGGUGGGGGUUGGAAAGUUUCGGCGGUUGGGGAUGGACUCGCGGCUUAUCAGCUUGUUGGUGGGGUAGUGGCUUACCAAGGCUUUGACGGGUAGCCGGCCUGAGAGGGUGACCGGCCACAUUGGGACUGAGAUACGGCCCAGACUCCUACGGGAGGCAGCAGUGGGGAAUAUUGCACAAUGGGUGGAAGCCUGAUGCAGCAACGCCGUGUGCGGGAUGACGGCCUUCGGGUUGUAAACCGCUUUCGCUCAUGACGAAGCUUUGUGUGACGGUAGUGGGUAAAGAAGCACCGGCUAACUACGUG